UUUGGGAACCAAAAAUGGGAAGGAAAGGAGCCCAUCUCCUGGUACUUUGGGUUUUCAUUCCCCAUGAAAACUUUUGGGACAUCCCUGCUGAGAGACACCCUACUGACCUAGGGGAAGCUGCAAUCUUUUACUAAAUUUCCCUGUGCACUUACCACCCAUUGUCUGCAUAGACACAGUCAGCAUCCAGCACCAGGCUGCACUGUGUCACUUCACUAAAUAUGCUGUGUGUUUUCCAAGAUGUAGUGGAAGCUCACCAAGAACAAGUUUUCCUAAUGGAUGGAUAUUGCCCUCAUCGUGCUCCAGUAAAUAAAUUAAUAAAAACCCUC